rnacentral:rRNA from 1 species
CCUACGGGUGGCAGCAGUGGGGGAUAUUGCACAAUGGGGGAAACCCUGAUGCAGCGACGCCGCGUGAGCGAAGAAGUCUUUCGGUAUGUAAAGCUCUAUCAGCAGGGAAGAAGAAAUGACGGUACCUGAGUAAGAAGCACCGGCUAAAUACGUGCCAGCAGCCGCGGUAAUACGAAGGGUGCAAGCGUUAUCCGGAUUUACUGGGUGUAAAGGGUGCGCAGGGGGCGUGGCAAGCCUGAUGUGAAAGCUCGCGGCCCAACCGUAGGAGUGCAUUGGAAACUAGCAGGCUGGAGUGCAGGAGAGGUAGGCGGAAUUCGUGGUGUAGCGGUGAAAUGCGUAGAUAUCAGGAGGAACACCGGUGGCGAAGGCGGCCUACUGGACGGUGACUGACGCUGAGGCUCGAAAGUGUGGGGAGCAAACAGGAUUAGAUACCCGGGUAGUC